UAUAUACUACCUCCGUCCGGAAAUACUUGUCCUAGAGAUGAAUGUAUCUAGACUUAUUUUAAUUAUAGAUACUUCCAUUAUAUGCAUUUUUAGGACAAUUAUUUUCGGACGGAGGGAGUAUUAC
rnacentral:pre_miRNA from 1 species